rnacentral:rRNA from 1 species
UACGAAAGGUGCGAGCGUUAAUCGGAAUUACUGGGCGUAAAGCGCGCGUAGGUGGUGUGUUAAGUCGGAUGUGAAAGCCCUGGGCUCAACCUGGGAACUGCAUCCGAUACUGGCACGCUAGAGUGCAGUAGAGGGAGGUGGAAUUUCCGGUGUAGCGGUGAAAUGCGUAGAGAUCGGAAGGAACACCAGUGGCGAAGGCGCCUCCUGGACUGACACUGACACUGAGGUGCGAAAGCGUGGGGAGCAAACAGG